UACGAAGGGGGCUAGCGUUGCUCGGAAUCACUGGGCGUAAAGGGCGCGUAGGCGGCCAUUCAAGUCGGGGGUGAAAGCCUGUGGCUCAACCACAGAAUUGCCUUUGAUACUGUUUGGCUUGAGUCCGGAAGAGGUAAGUGGAACUGCGAGUGUAGAGGUGAAAUUCGUAGAUAUUCGCAAGAACACCAGUGGCGAAGGCGGCUUACUGGUCCGGAACUGACGCUGAGGUGCGAAAGCGUGGGGAGCAAACAGG
rnacentral:rRNA from 1 species